UGCUCCGUUAUUAUAAAGCUC
rnacentral:piRNA from 1 species